AUUAAAGUUGUUGCAGUUAAAAAGCUCGUAGUUGGACUUGUGUGCGCUGUCCGCGGGUGGCCUGCGCCCAAAAGGGCGUUUCGGUUCGGCCCCGGUGGCGCCUUGAAAUCUGCAGCUGGGGGGACGUUGGCCUUAACUGGUCGGCGACCGCACGCCGGCUGCUCGGUUACUGUGAGAAAAUUAGAGUGUUCAAGGCAGGCAUUGGGUGCAAUUGAAUACAUUAGCAUGGAAUAAUAAAAUAUGGCUCCUGCCGUAUUUUGUUGGUUUUGACUGGUGGGAGUAAUGAUUGAUAGGGACGGUUGGGGGUGCUAGUAUUGAGCGGCCAGAGGUGAAAUUCAUGGAUUCGCUCAAGACUAACUUAUGCGAAAGCAUUCACUAAGGACGUCCUCUUUAAUCAAGAACGAAAGUUGGGGGAUCGAAGACGAUCAGAUACCGUCGUAGUCUCAACCAUAAACUAUGUCGACUUGGGAUCGGCGGUAGUUCUUUCAUUAAGACACUGUCGGGACCACGGGAGAAAUCAAAGUGUCUGGACUCUGGGGGAAGUAUGGUCGCAAGGCUGAAACUUGAAGGAAUUGACGGAAGGGCACCACCAGGAGUGGAGCCUGCGGCUUAAUUUGACUCAACACGGGGAAACCUACCAGGUCCAGAGAUGUAGAGGAUUGACAGAUUGAAGCUCUUUCUUGAUCACUUCGGUGGUGGUGCAUGGCCGUUCUUAGUUGGUGGAGUGAUUUGUCUGGUUAAUUCCGUUAUCGAACGAGACCUCAGCCUGCUAGUGUAGUCGGCUGGAUUGCCUUUGGCGAUCCGUGAUUUCGACUUCUUAGAGGGACAAUCGACGCGCAGUCGAUGGAAGUUUGAGGCAAUAACAGGUCUGUGAUGCCCUUAGAUGUUCUGGGCCGCACGCGCGCUACACUGCUGGGCUCAGCGAGUUUUACUUGGCCGAGAGGCCCGGUUAAUCUUGUGAAAUCCCAGCGUGCUUGGGCUCGCCUCCUGCAACUGGAGGCGCCAACGAGGAAUUCCUAGUAGACGCAGGUCAUCAACCUGCAUCGAUUACGUCCCUGCCCUUUGUACACACCGCCCGUCGUUCCAUAAGAGUGAGGCAUCCGGUGAAUUCUCGGGAGAGCCUGGGCGUGGCCAGCAAUGGUCUGCUCGGGUUUGAACUUGCAUAAACUUGGUGCCUAUGAUUAGGG
rnacentral:rRNA from 1 species